rnacentral:tRNA from 1 species
AGCAGCGUGGCUCAGUGGAAGGAGCCUGGGCUGGGGAGCCAGAGGUCAUGGGUUCAAAUCCCACUUCUGCCA